CGGCGAGUGAAGCGGGAUGAGCUCCAAGCUUUAAAAUCUCCGGUGCAAUUUUUGCACGGCGAAUUGUAGUCUAUAGAGGCGUGAUCAGUAUGGGGCACUUGGGGGUAAGUUCCUUGGAAUAGGACAGCAUGGAGGGUGAUACUCCCGUUCGUCCNUAAGUUGCUCGUGCGUACGAUCCGUUUUCUUUGAGUCGCGUUGUUUGAGAAUGCAGCGCAAAGUAGGUGGUAAAUUCCAUCUAAAGCUAAAUAUUGGUGCGAGACCGAUAGCAUACAAGUACCGUGAGGGAAAGAUGAAAAGAACUUUGAAAAUAGAGUUAAAGAGUACCUGAAACUGCUGAAAGGGAACCAAAUCGUUUCCAGUGUCUAUAAUCCGUAGUAUAUUUCAUCGGCGAGCGUGUGCGUGCAUGUGCUUUUGCAGUGGCCUUUUGGCUACGCAAGGUGUUUGUGCUGUGUGUGCUUGCUGGUGCCCUGUGCUGCGGUGGGACGUCAAGGUCAGUUCGUAUGCUGCGGGAAAUGGCUACCGAGGAGGUAGGGCUUACGCUUGCGUUUGUCUGUUAUAUCUUGGUAGACGAGUAGUCGCGGUUGGGACUGAGGU
rnacentral:rRNA from 1 species